rnacentral:lncRNA from 1 species
CCCAGUACACACCUCAUAGACCCCUCGAGGGUUGUCAAGUACCAGAUUAACAGUUGUUUCUUCCAUGGAAGAUAUCGGAAUCAGAGGUUCCUGCUACUCAUUCUUUUAUCUUUCCAUGCCCCUUGGCAAUCAUUAUUCUACCUGACUGUUUGAUCUCUUUUGUUUUCGGUUCAGGCAUUCCUUGCAUUAUUUUUCUUUUUCUUUUCUUUUCUUUUUUUUUUCUUUUCUUUUUUUUUCUUUUUUUUUUCUCUUUUUUUUUUUGCAGGAUCGACCUCGACUCCUCUUUCGUUCACAAUAAGCCUCGGCAACUUACCGGACAACACUCCAUAAGUGCGCGACUUCGAACUCAACAGUAUGAGUUAUCUCUACC